rnacentral:rRNA from 1 species
CGUAGACUCCUACGGGAGGCAGCAGUGGGGAAUAUUGCACAAUGGGCGCAAGCCUGAUGCAGCCAUGCCGCGUGUGUGAAGAAGGCCUUCGGGUUGUAAAGCACUUUCAGUUGUGAGGAAAGGUUAGUCGCUAAUAUCGGCUAGCUGUGACGUAUGACGUAACAGAAAGAAGCACCGGCUAACUCCGUGCCAGCAGCCGCGGUAAUACGGAGGGUGCGAGCGUUAAUCGGAAUUACUGGGCGUAAAGCGCGUGUAGGUGGCUUGUUAAGCCAGAUGUGAAAGCCCCGGGCUCAACCUGGGAACUGCAUUUGGAACUGGCAGGCUAGAGUUUUGUAGAGGGUGGUAGAAUUUCAGGUGUAGCGGUGAAAUGCGUAGAGAUCUGAAGGAAUACCGGUGGCGAAGGCGACCACCUGGCCAAUAACUGACACUGAGACGCGAAGGCGUGGGUAGCAAACGGGAUUAGAUACCCUGGUAG